rnacentral:rRNA from 1 species
AAGAGUCUAACCUGCCCAGUGAUAUUUAUUUAACGGCCGCGGUACUCUGACCGUGCAAAGGUAGCAUAAUCAUUUGCCUUAUAAUUGAAGGCUUGUAUGAAUGGUUUGACAAGAAUUAAUCUGUCUCUUAUUAAUUAAAAUGAAAUUGACUUUUAGGUGUAAAGGCCUAAAUAUAACUAAUAGACAAGAAGACCCUAUUGAGCUUUAAAGAUUUAUAAUGGUAUAAAUUAUAUUAAAAAUAAGAUUAUAAGCUAUUAAAAUUUUUAGUUGGGGCGACUAUGGAACAAAUAAAGCUUCUAGAAUUUUGUGAUAUUUGUUGUUAGUUUAUUUAAAUUUGAUCCAAAAUAUUUUGAUUAAUAGAAUAAGUUACCAUAGGGAUAACAGCAUAAUCUAUCUUAAGAGUUCUAAUCGAAAGAAAGGUUUGUGACCUCGAUGUUGGAUUAAAAUGUCCUAAGGGUGCAGAAGCUCUUAAAGGUUGGUC